rnacentral:rRNA from 1 species
UGGGGAAUAUUGGACAAUGGGCGAAAGCCUGAUCCAGCCAUGCCGCGUGUGUGAAGAAGGUCUUCGGAUUGUAAAGCACUUUAAGUUGGGAGGAAGGGCAGUAAGCGAAUACCUUGCUGCUUUGACGUUACCGACAGAAUAAGCACCGGCUAACUCUGUGCCAGCAGCCGCGGUAAUACAGAGGGUGCAAGCGUUAAUCGGAAUAACUGGGCGUAAAGCGCGCGUAGGUGGUUCGUUAAGUUGAAUGUGAAAGCCCCGGGCUCAACCUGGGAACUGCAUCCAAAACUGGCGGGCUAGAGUAGGGCAGAGGGUGGUGGAAUUUCCUGUGUAGCGGUGAAAUGCGUAGAUAUAGGAAGGAACACCAGUGGCGAAGGCGACCACCUGGGCUCAUACUGACACUGAGGUGCGAAAGCGUGGGGAGCAAACAGG